UACACUCUUAAUUUAACUGCACUAUAUCAGACCCUUUUUAGUGGUCUUAAAAUCGGGGGAUUACUGCAUGUUUUUCUGUUGUGUCCUUUUUCUUGGCACCUGCUGCAUUUGUUUUGAAUUUUGAUUUCAGAUCCGUGUUUGUACCUCUCUUUUUUUGGUCUUCCUGCUGCCCUUCUUGUGUUGGGUGGUUUUAUACAUAUGUUUUUUACUUCUU
rnacentral:lncRNA from 1 species